AGCCCCAUGGUGUAGUGGUCAAUCAUCUCGGAUUUUGGGUCCGAGGACGGCAGUUCGAAUCUGCCUGGGGCUA
rnacentral:tRNA from 1 species